CUUAAUUGCUAAGCAACUUCAUAUAAUAUAAGUAACACUAUUUUUUACUAGAUUCUGGUUUGAUGGUAUAUUAAAACGUAUUGUUGUUUUUAAUGUACUACAUAGAAACUUAAGGACUUUAUUGAUAUGAUCAGCAUGUAAACAAACUGUGUCAUCUAUUUUUAAACAGCUGUGGAAAAGCCUUUGCUACAAAUGCUGUAUUAAAAUACAGAUCCUC
rnacentral:lncRNA from 1 species